rnacentral:tRNA from 1 species
GCCGACGUAGCCCAAUGGCAGAGGCCCGGGUCUUAGGAACCCGCCAGUGUGGGUUCGAAUCCCACCGUCGGCA